GAUGAACGCUGGCGGCGUGCCUAAUACAUGCAAGUCGAGCGAACGGACGAGAAGCUUGCUUCUCUGAUGUUAGCGGCGGACGGGUGAGUAACACGUGGAUAACCUACCUAUAAGACUGGGAUAACUUCGGGAAACCGGAGCUAAUACCGGAUAAUAUUUUGAACCGCAUGGGUCAAAAGUGAAAGACGGUCUUGCUGUCACUAAUAGAUGGAUCCGCGCUGCUUUAGCUAGUCGGUAAGGUAACGGCUUACCAAGGCAACGAUGCAUAGCCGACCUGAGGGGGUGAUCGGCCACACUGGAACUGAGACACGGUCCAGACGCCUACGGGAGGCAGCAGUAGGGAAUCUUCCGCAAUGGGCGAAAGCCUGACGGAGCAACGCCGCGUGAGUGAUGAAGGUCUUCGGAUCGUAAAACUCUGUUAUUAGUGAAGAACAUAUGUGUAAGUAACUGUGCACAUCUUGACGGUACCUAAUCAGAAAGCCACGGCUAACUACGUG
rnacentral:rRNA from 1 species